GAGGGCUUUACUGUCUCUUACUUCCAAUCCGUGAAAUUGACCUUCCCGUGAAGAGGCGGGAAUAUGACAAUAAGACGAGAAGACCCUAUGGAGCUUUAAUUAACCGACCCAAAGAGAUCUUGAUAAUCAACCGACAGGGAUAACAUACCUCUACCAUGGGCCGACAAUUUAGGUUGGGGUGACCUCGGAGAAUAAAACAACCUCCGAGUGAUUUAAAUCUAGACUAACUAGUCGAAAGUACUACAUCACUUAUUGAUCCAAAAACUUGAUCAACGGAACAAGUUACCCUAGGGAUAACAGCGCAAUCCUAUUUUAGAGUCCAUAUCGACAAUAGG
rnacentral:rRNA from 1 species